GACGAACGCUGGCGGCGUGCUUAACACAUGCAAGUCGAACGGAAAGGCCCUGCUUUUGUGGGGUGCUCGAGUGGCGAACGGGUGAGUAACACGUGAGUAACCUGCCCUUGACUUUGGGAUAACUUCAGGAAACUGGGGCUAAUACCGGAUAGGAGCUCCUGCUGCAUGGUGGGGGUUGGAAAGUUUCGGCGGUUGGGGAUGGACUCGCGGCUUAUCAGCUUGUUGGUGGGGUAGUGGCUUACCAAGGCUUUGACGGGUAGCCGGCCUGAGAGGGUGACCGGCCACAAUGGGACUGAGCUACGGACCAGACUCCUACGGGCGACAACAGUGGAGAAUGUUGAACAAUGGGCGGAAGCCUGAUGCAGCAACGCCGCGUGCGAGAUGAAGGCCUUCGGGUUGUAAACCGCUUUAGCCUGUGACGAAGCGUGAGUGACGGUAAUGGAUAAAGAAGCACCGGCUAACUACGUG
rnacentral:rRNA from 1 species